GCGGGAGUGGCGAAAUAGGUAGACGCACCAGAUUUAGGUUCUGGCGCCGAAAGGUGUGCGAGUUCAAAUCUCGCCUCCCGUA
rnacentral:tRNA from 1 species